GAUGAACGCUGGCGGCGUGCUUAACACAUGCAAGUCGAACGAAGCAUUUAAGACAGAUUACUUCGGUUUGAAGUCUGUUAUGACUGAGUGGCGGACGGGUGAGUAACGCGUGGGUAACCUGCCUCAUACAGGGGGAUAGCAGCUGGAAACGGCUGGUAAUACCGCAUAAGCGCACAGUACCACAUGGUACAGUGUGAAAAACUCCGGUGGUAUGAGAUGGACCCGCGUCUGAUUAGCUUGUUGGCGGGGUAACGGCCCACCAAGGCGACGAUCAGUAGACGACAUGAGAGGGUGGCCGGCCACAUUGGGACUGAGACACGGCCCAGACUACUACGGGAGGCAGCAGUGGGGAAUAUUGCACAAUGGAGGAAACUCUGAUGCAGCGACGCCGCGUGAGUGAAGAAGUAGUUAGCUAUGUAAAGCUCUAUCAGCAGGGAAGAUAGUGACGGUACCUGACGAAGAAGCUCCGGCUAAAUACGUG
rnacentral:rRNA from 1 species